GGGGUAUGGAGGCAGCCAUAAUAAUGCAGCUGCACAAAAGACUUCCAGAGCUGCUUCGGAAAGUGGCAGGAAAGACGGGAGAAGUGUGUUCGAAGUGAGGGGAUUCAUGUCAGUGUUCCACUGCAGUGAAUUUUAAAAUUUUAAGCAUUCGAUGUAUUUUUCAGUCACACCUCGAAUAUGGCACAAGUCUGCCCUGUUUUUCUCCUGAUUUAGCAUUGGUCCUUUCCCCCUUGCCCCUCAUCCUGGCUUCGGCUCAGUGUUUCGUCAUUCGGGUGAUCAGCUGGAUGCUCGCUGCCUGACUGCCCGACCUCACAGUAACAGCUGCACUGGUCUCACCCGUGGGGCCGCUCCCACUGCCCCACACCAUCCUUUAACGCACAGUCUGUAAAUGGAGCAGAAUGGAGCAGCCGGGACAGUCUCAGAAAAUGAACGCAGGCAGAAUGACCAGCAAGCUUGAGAUGUCCCUGGAAAUUUAGAAGCAGAACACAAAGGAGAGCAGAGGAGUGUCCUUUCCCAUCCAGGAACAUGUUGGAUGUUCAUUUGGAAAGACUGAAGCUUCCAGCCCCGCCACUCUUGGUAUUACUGUUUCGACUACAUGUAGUUCUCAGCCAAGUUGAGAUUCCAUAAUUGGUCCACAAGGUAAAGUUCUGGCUGAAGGCACAAGGCCUGAGUUUAUCCCAAGCCCUUCUGGUUGCCAGCCAUCCUUUACGAGAAGACCUGUUUCUUUCCCUUAGCAACGAGUUUGUAUGGAGACAAAUUACAGCAUGUUUCACGCAGUCAGGACUCCAUCACUGAAUAGGAAGCAGUUGGUACUGUGUAUGCCAGGUACCAGCUGCAGUGCUGAAUGCUCCAUAUGUGGCCCUUCAUUUAACGACCACACCAUCCCUG
rnacentral:lncRNA from 1 species